rnacentral:rRNA from 1 species
CCUCGGGUGGCAGCAGUGGGGAAUAAUGCACAAUGGGGGAAACCCUGAUGCAGCGACGCCGCGUGAGUGAAGAAGUAUUUCGGUAUGUAAAGCUCUAUCAGCAGGGAAGAAGCAAGACGGUACCUGACUAAGAAGCCCCGGCUAAAUACGUGCCAGCAGCCGCGGUAAUACGUAGGGGGCAAGCGUUAUCCGGAAUUACUGGGUGUAAAGGGAGCGUAGACGGUAUGGCAAGUCUGAAGUGAAAGCCCAGGGCUUAACCCUUGGACUGCUUUGGAAACUGUUAGGCUAGAGUGUCGGAGAGGCAAGUGGAAUUCCUAGUGUAGCGGUGAAAUGCGUAGAUAUUAGGAGGAACACCAGUGGCGAAGGCGGCUUGCUGGACGAUGACUGACGUUGAGGCUCGAAAGCGUGGGGAGCAAACAGGAUUAGAUACCCCUGUAGUC